rnacentral:rRNA from 1 species
UCCGGUGGCCGCAGAGAAUAGGCCCAAGCGACUGUUUACCAAAAACAUAGGUUUCUGCUAAGUCGCAAGACGAUGUAUAGGAGCUGACGCCUGCCCGGUGCUGGAAGGUUAAGGGGAUCUGUUAGAGCGAUCGAAGCAGUGAACUUAAGCCCCAGUAAACGGCGGCCGUAACUAUAACGGUCCUAAGGUAGCGAAAUUCCUUGUCGGGUAAGUUCCGACCCGCACGAAAGGCGUAACGAUUUGGGCACUGUCUCAA